AGACACCCUUCUGGGGAAAGACUUGCUUCAGUGGGGCUUUGGUGCUCACUGAGUCUUCCCCCUGAGUGUGUUCCU
rnacentral:pre_miRNA from 1 species